GCGUGCCGGUCUUCAUAGGUGCUCGCUGACAGCACUUGCCCCGUCAGACUGUUAAGGCUAUACGGGGGAUCUUUGUCUCGUGUAGGAGGCUCAUUGUCUCGUGUAAGGAGUGAGAAUACCUGGGUAUGUGUGUCAGUGUGGGUAUGAGAGUGUGUCACCGUGUGUGUAAGUCGGUGUGUGCGUGACACCAGCGGUGUCAAGAUCGCUGUCGAGAUGGAGGCAGUCGCCCUCCAGCAACAACAACGGAGGGCAGAGGAGCCACGCUCACAACAACGAGCGGAACGCCGGGCGGAUAAAACGCAGAGUUGGCAGAGUGGGGAGCACUGGUGGUGCAAUCUGCCAGUCAUCUCGGUCAGUCAACCUCAGCUCAAACAACAACCGCGCGAUCUGAACGGCACAAUGUUGGCCAAAUCCCCCAGCGUUGAUGGUCCACCUGCAGACGACUCACCUGGGAUCACAGCAUCGCCCACCCCACUUCUACCUGGAGCACCACGUGGCAGGACCCUCCUGGCAAAGAGUGUGUGGGUAUACACGUGUGUGUACAGUGUGUGUAUACAGUGUGUGGGUGUACACGUGUGUGCACACCUAUUCAAGGCACCACUUUGUCUGAUGCCCAAUUUGUGCUCGCCCCCUGGCGGACUGAAUGUGAAAACACUGAUGGAAAGUGACCCCCGACUGGAGCCACAGCCACACCAAAGUCUGUGCGCCCUCUCACAGUAAGUGUAAAUUCCAUACUCAUAAGGCAGAGACGAGUUUUUACAAAGGACACACACUGUUGACCUCUCACGAAGUCGUUUUAUCGACGCUGCGGAGAUGAUAGGCCGAGGUAACGCCUGACCGCGAGAAUUGAACUGUCCACCUGACGAUUGUGACGUGGUCACCCGUGUCAAUCGCUAACGGAUCAAUUCGGGUGCACUUUUUAAGGAGGGGGUUACUUAAUCAUCAUGGUCAUCAUCAGCCAUGAUCUAUCCACUGCCGGAUGCAGGCUCCUCAAGCCGUCGGCAUCUCUCGCGGUCUCGCAAAGAAAAUAUUCCAUCUGGCUCCUGCACAAGCGCUCGAUCCCAUUGCUCCAUCCGCGGGAGAGACGCGUUCCUCGCCACGAGCCUCGCCACGAGCCUCGCCACGAGCCUCGCCGCGAGCCUCGCCACGAGCCUCGCCACCGUGCCGUGUACAAAUAUUAAACGCGUGAAGGUGAGAAUGUCCCGCGGUAUCCCAGCAAGGAGGACAACGAUACAAGCCGAUGUGUGUUUUAUUUAGAGAACUACUUGUCACUUUGUCACGAUUAUUAGAUACAGUAAGUGUAUACGCUAAUAUUAAAUAAGUUACAUCUUCAUGAUCAAGCUUUUUACAUUAUGUAUAAAAUACCAAGCUCACAUUUACAUGUUUUAAAAUGAAUUUUUACACUAAUGCUUACGUUUCAGAGCAUUGACACAUUCGGUACUAAACUCACAUUUGAUGGAACCCUCCGCACCACUCCCGUCGACUCCGCUCACGUUAUCCAUAAAACACCGCGCUUCACGUGCGCCAUCGAGACCACUGCGCGUUAUAAAUAGUUCGCUGCCAUUCCACCAGAGUGCCAUUGUGUCCGACAAUCCACUCCCAGUGAGAUUGACAUUCCUUCCGGAUCUGCCAAACGCAGCAAAAAACAUUCAACUGAACAAAAGCAAACAUAAGUCAACCAAAAACACGAACUUAUUUUGAUACAUAAUACAUUUCUUUUGGAAUAGAUCGUGUGGAUAUGUCAAUAUCUAACUAUAACCCUUCAGUACCUGACAGCCAAUCAAAUCAACUUCUCACGUGGGCAAAAUAUACCAAUUGAUUUUAUUUUUCAGCUGACCGGAAUUUUGAAAAGCGAGCAAAAUUUUGACGAGAUUUUAUUUUGUCUGGUAGAUAUAUUCCUUGGCUGUGUGUCCAUGGCUGUCAAACACGAGUGUGUAUCGUUGUUAAUGGGAGGAAUGUGCUUCAACGUUAAGUCAAGCGUGUUGACGUAGCGUACUCUGGCAGCGAUGUCACACAUCGGGAGCUCACAUUCUCUUCUGCUGCUCUGCUCCCAACAACGUUUGGAACUCCCCGAUCCAGCGACUCAAGACCUUCUUCCUCUUCUGCCUAUAUCUACUGUUUUUUGUACAGCGUCUUGAGAUGCGGUCAUAUUUUCGGGAGCUAUAUGAAUCUACAUUGUGUUGCAUUGCUGCAGACUAUAAAAAUGUACUGGAGUGACAUAAUUCGCGAUAUAUCUUUGCUUCACUACUAAGAUUCAAACUCGUGCUGCAGAGCCUGGGACACACAGACUAGGUACAUGUCUACUACAAGAGAUGAGAACGGUCGUAUGUUUUUUGAGGUUCAGUCUCUCCUUAAAAAAAGGUAUUCUCAAUACUUAAGGUUGGUCGAAUUGCUCAUCGUAAACCUUUACUUUUAUCAAACAUCGCAAAAUGUGCAGUGAUGGCCACGGGAUUAUCUUGCUUCGAAUAAAGAGCACAGUCCUCGGGGCAGUG